UACAGAGGUCCCGAGCGUUGUUCGGAUUCACUGGGCGUAAAGGGUGCGUAGGUGGCAUGGCAAGUUUGAUGUGAAAGCUCAGGGCUUAACCCUGAAAUGGCAUUGAAUACUGCUGGGCUGGAGGUUUGGAGGGGGGACUGGAAUUCUUGGUGUAGCAGUGAAAUGCGUAGAUAUCAAGAGGAACACCAGUGGCGAAGGCGAGUCCCUGGACAACACCUGACACUGAGGCACGAAAGCCGGGGGAGCAAACGGG
rnacentral:rRNA from 1 species